UACGAAGGGGGCUAGCGUUGCUCGGAAUCACUGGGCGUAAAGGGUGCGUAGGCGGGUCUUUAAGUCAGGGGUGAAAUCCUGGAGCUCAACUCCAGAACUGCCUUUGAUACUGAAGAUCUUGAGUUCGGGAGAGGUGAGUGGAACUGCGAGUGUAGAGGUGAAAUUCGUAGAUAUUCGCAAGAACACCAGUGGCGAAGGCGGCUCACUGGAUCGGUACUGACGCUGAGGUGCGAAAGCGUGGGGAGCAAACAGG
rnacentral:rRNA from 1 species